GGAGAGGUGCGAGAGAGGCCGAAUCGGCGCGACUGGAAAUCGCGUGUGGGGCAACUCACCGUGGGUUCGAAUCCCACCCCCUCCGCCA
rnacentral:tRNA from 1 species